rfam:Streptomyces sp. NRRL F-4428 contig12.3, whole genome shotgun sequence.
CUUGAGGGAGCCCAGCCACAGCGGGGAGUCGCCCGGCCGGUCCCGGCCGUAGGUGGCCAGCAGCGCCGCGGCCUC